AUUCCAGCUCCAAUAGCGUAUAUUAAAGUUGUUGCAGUUAAAAAGCUCGUAGUUGGAUUUGUGGAUGAAUAGAUCGGUCCCACACAAUGUGCGGGGUACCUGAUUUGUUCGUCCAUCCUUGGGUGGAUGCUGUGUGGCAUUAAGUUGUCGUGCAGUGGAUGCCCAUCGUUUACUGUGAAAAAAUUAGAGUGUUCAAAGCAGGCUUACGCCGUUGAAUAUAUUAGCAUGGAAUAAUGAGAUAGGACCUCGGUACUAUUUUGUUGGUUUGCGCACCGGGGUAAUGAUUAACAGGGACAGUUGGGGGUAUUCGUAUUCCAUUGUCAGAGGUGAAAUUCUUGGAUUUCUGGAAGACGAACUAAUGCGAAAGCAUUUACCAAGGAUGUUUUCAUCA
rnacentral:rRNA from 1 species